rnacentral:rRNA from 1 species
UACACUCCUGCGGGAGGCAGCAGUGGGGAAUUUUGGACAAUGGGCGAAAGCCUGAUCCAGCAAUGCCGCGUGUGUGAAGAAGGCCUUCGGGUUGUAAAGCACUUUUGUCCGGAAAGAAAUCCUUGGCUCUAAUACAGUCGGGGGAUGACGGUACCGGAAGAAUAAGCACCGGCUAACUACGUGCCAGCAGCCGCGGUAAUACGUAGGGUGCGAGCGUUAAUCGGAAUUACUGGGCGUAAAGCGUGCGCAGGCGGUUUGCUAAGACCGAUGUGAAAUCCCCGGGCUCAACCUGGGAACUGCAUUGGUGACUGGCAGGCUAGAGUAUGGCAGAGGGGGGUAGAAUUCCACGUGUAGCAGUGAAAUGCGUAGAGAUGUGGAGGAAUACCGAUGGCGAAGGCAGCCCCCUGGGCCAAUACUGACGCUCAUGCACGAAAGCGUGGGGAGCAAACAGGAUUAGAAACCCUUGUAGUCCCA